rnacentral:rRNA from 2 species
GUCUUGACCAAAUUACGUGCCAGCAGUCGCGGUAACACGUAGAAGACUAGUGUUAUUCAUCUUUAUUAGGUUUAAAGGGUACCUAGACGGAAAAUCAAGCCAUAAUAGGGACUAAUUUUCUAGAGUUUUAUGAGAGAAGGGGUGAAUUUCCGGAGGAAAGUUGAUAUUUAGUGAUACUGGAAGGACGGGUAACGGCGAAGGCAACCUUGUAUGUAAAAACUGACGUUGAGGGACGAAGCCUUGGGUAACGAGAAGGAUUAGAUACCCUAGUAGUCCUUGGAGACAAUUAUGAAUGUCAUAGGCUAGAUAAUUUAGCCUAUAAAUGAAAGUGUAAGCAUUCCACCUCAUGAGUAAAGCGGCAACGCCCAAAUUGAAAUCAUUAGACCGUUUCUGAAACCAGUAGUGAAGUAUGUUAUUUAAUUCGAUGAUCCGCGAAUAACCUUACCACAAUAUGCAUUGAAUAUUAUUCAAUUAUUACAAGCGCUGCACGGCUGUCUUCAGUUAAUGUCGUGAGAUUUUGGUUCGUUCCUUUAAUUAACGAAAACCCUUGCUUUAUUUGUUUUUAUAAAGUAGUUCACCGUGAUAUUGGAUGAGAUAAUAGGGACUAAGACAAGUCAUCAUG